GAUGAACGCUGGCGGCGUGCCUAAUACAUGCAAGUCGAGCGAACAGAUGAGGAGCUUGCUCCUCUGACGUUAGCGGCGGACGGGUGAGUAACACGUGGAUAACCUACCUAUAAGACUGGGAUAACUUCGGGAAACCGGAGCUAAUACCGGAUAAUAUAUUGAACCGCAUGGUUCAAUAGUGAAAGACGGUUUUGCUGUCACUUCUAGAUGGAUCCGCGCCGCAUUAGCUAGUUGGUAAGGUAACGGCUUACCAAGGCAACGAUGCGUAGCCGACCUGAGAGGGGGAUAGGCCACACUGGAACUGAGACACGGUCCAGACUACUACGGGAGGCAGCAGUAGGGAAUCGUCCGCAAUGGGCGAAAGCCUGACGGAGUAACGCCGCGUGAGUGAUGAAGGUCUUCGGAUCGUAAAACUCUGUUAUUAGGGAAGAACAAAUGUGUAAGUAACUAUGCACGUCUUGACGGUACCUAGUCAGAAAGCCACGGCUAACUACGUG
rnacentral:rRNA from 1 species